UACAAGAUGGCUUAGUGGAUAAAGGUGACUGCUGCCAAGCCUGAAGAUCUGAGUUCCAUCGCUGAGACCCACAGGCUGGAGGGAGAGAACUGACUCCUGCAAGUCCUAUUCUGAUAUGUACACAGAUGCAUACCCACAGACUCAUAAGAAUUCAGGAAGCUAUCAGGAAGAGGACCAAACUCAACACUGCCCCAUUGUCAUCAGCUCUUGGAAUGGCCGGGGAGAGCAGCCACAGCCUCCAAGAUGCCAGGACCAGAACUGAUGGCCUCAGAAUCCCGAACUUCAGGAGCAGCAUCAGAGAUGUCGGGAAGAGUCAGCAUACAUCUUCAAAUGUCAGCCUUUCCUGUCCAGCCAAUGAGGACAAGCAGCUCAACAAGACCACCUGGCAGGUAAC